CUAACUAGCUACGUGGAGG
rnacentral:siRNA from 1 species